ensembl:lncRNA
CAAGAGCCGGCGAAGAGGAGAAAAUGGAGAGAACUAAAUGGAGAGGACAUCUCAUCUCGUAAUGCUGACUAUAUUAAGUUCAAAACAAAGGCUUUUGAGGUUGACAAGCCCCUUGGAGAUGCAACAAGGGGUGCAGAUUUUACUAUGGAGGUGCUCGGAAGCCUCCAAUCACGUUCAAGGGCGGAGCUUAUUGCCAUGGUGUUGAGUAUGCAGAGGGAGAUGGACGGCCUUCGAGAGCAAAUCAGAAGCCUUACAGGUAAAGCAGUGGACUUCUGAAAUGUGGCAAAUUGUCCUUUUUGGGUUUAGUUUUUUAUUUUACAGCAAUGCAUUUCCAUUGGCAGGGAAAGACGUGCAUCGAGCUGAAAGCUCACUGAAAACCAGCUCGUUCACAGAUCAUUUCAUGUUUCAAGAUCAUUUCAGUUUGAAGAAAAGUCCAGCAAGUUCAUGAGGAAACGUCACGUCAGCAAAAGAUUUAGUGUUACUGUGGUGUGCCAUGUUACACAACAGGUUACCUCUUGUUGUGAGACAAUUUCGGGGCUAAAUUCAUAUUUUUUUUGUACAGCUUGUGGGAAGUUGGCUCAGACACUUGAAGAGCUGAUCGAGAAGAGUGAUAGAUGGCUGUGCGGCAGCCACGAAGCUGCAACUCCCAGCAUUCCAGAGGAGCGCGAGGGAAGCAGGCCACCCAGUCACAUUUCUCUUCCAAGGGUGCUUAGUGGAAGAACAGCUGAAUGUGCAAGUUCAGAGCAGCAGGGGUGUGGUCAGUAUGAGGUCACACAAACAAUGCCUCAACGGAAUGGAACGAUUCCCGAACAAAAAGUUAUCACUGCUGAUCUCCUGGAGCGCUGCAACACAGGGACCACUGCUCAGAAACUCACCAAUGACCUGCUGCGCAGCCUCUAUGACAGAGACUGUCUGGCCUCUCACUCAAUCUCAGGCAUCAUCAACAGCAAGAGAGGGAUGCCUAAGCCAGCUCUUCCAGCACAUGAGAUCCAGGCCAUUCUGAGGACAGUGCAGCGGUUCUUCCCCGGAAAGACUGAUUCGGAAAUAAAGUGCUACAUACGACAGAAGCUUCAGAAUGAGGCCAAGAGGCUUCGGAAAAGACCACACCCAGCUGAUGAUCCAGUGAUGGGCUCAUUUGAGAAGGAGAAAGCAAUGUUUGAGCACUGAGCGUUAACUAUCAUUGGACAUCCCCAGCAUAUUUAGUUGAAGAAUUUUACUGACACAAAAUUCUGUUAUUAACCUUAAAGGGAUAGUUCCGAAAAAGUUCUGUCAUCAUUUACUUAAUUUUCAUUUAUUGUGAUUUGAAACGACACGAGGGUGAGUAAAUUAUGACAGAAUUUUCAUUUUUGAGUAAGGCUGCAUGAUUCAUCAAAAUAAAAACAAAACCGGCUUAGCGUGAUUAUCA